rnacentral:lncRNA from 1 species
AAAGAGUGCAGAGUACAGGCAAAGCACAUGGAAGACAUCCUACACAGCCUAAGGAUUGGCUGAAGAUGUACCCCUGAGAGCCUUUUCCUUUAAGUGCGGUCAUGUGCACCAAAAGGAACUGAAGGACUUCCAAAAAGAUGCUCUCUCUACAUUGCAUCUCUGCCACCAGUCUUCCCGUCUCUCUCUCUCUCUAGAACAGCUGCUUGGAAGGAGCAAGCUGCCCACAGUAUGUUCAGUCACAUGGAGAGACACUUCUCUGUAUUGGAGCCAACAUUUACGGAGAAAGAAGAGCUCAGCCUGGGUCAUGUUCCCACUGGAUCACUGCACUAGCAUGAGUGAAUAAAAAAUGGGGAAUCAACGUUUAUAGUCAAAA